rnacentral:rRNA from 1 species
CCUACGGGCGGCUGCAGUGAGGAAUAUUGGACAAUGGGCGCAAGCCUGAUCCAGCCAUGCCGCGUGCAGGAUGAAGCAUCUAUGGUGUGUAAACUGCUUUUGUACGAGAAGAAACACUCCUUCGUGAAGGGGCUUGACGGUAUCGUAAGAAUAAGGAUCGGCUAACUCCGUGCCAGCAGCCGCGGUAAUACGGAGGAUCCAAGCGUUAUCCGGAAUCAUUGGGUUUAAAGGGUCCGUAGGCGGGCCAGUAAGUCAGUGGUGAAAUCUCCCGGCUCAACCGGGAAAUGGCCAUUGAUACUGCUGGUCUUGAAUUAUUAGGAAGUAACUAGAAUAUGUAGUGUAGCGGUGAAAUGCUUAGAGAUUACAUGGAAUACCAAUUGCGAAGGCAGGUUACUACUAAUGGAUUGACGCUGAUGGACGAAAGCGUGGGUAGCGAACAGGAUUAGAUACCCCAGUAGUC